AUAGAUCUUCCCUACAAAGAGCGCAUGUCGCAUGUGUAAAGUCCUGCCCUCGAUGAAAGUCACGUGGAGGCACUACGUGCAGACAUUUGGCAAUUAGCCAAGUCAGAAUAAAGAAAAGACAAGAGCUGCCUUGCAACCGAGGCGCUGUCUCCAUUGGGAUUCUUUUGUCGAGGCACUCCAUCUCAAAACUGAACCUCUUCACGUCCAAAAUUCUAUCUCUCAUAGCCGAAGUGCUUGUUCUCUUCAAAGUAGGACUGAUGAGUAUCUUUAGGAACGAUUGAUACAACGUUUAUAUUAAUAAGUGUCAGACAUGUCAGUCAUGAAAUGUAGAGCGACUAAUCCCUCAUCAAUGUAAUUAAUGCAUGACAGUGUUAUGUGAGAUUCAGAUUAAUUAGAUGAAGCUACAUGGAUCUGAUCCAAAUGUAAUCACUCCGGCCCAAUUGCUAUAAAUAGCAGCUUUGUAAAUUGUAAACGAUGGAAAAAAAAGGAAUAUUUACAAACUCUAUAUGAUUAUCACUCUUAUCCUCACUUGAUAUCAAUUGGCUUAGGGAUAAUUGUUCGUGAUUGUGUU
rnacentral:lncRNA from 1 species